rnacentral:rRNA from 1 species
UGCCUUUCGACUUUAGUAUGAAAGGUUCAUCCUGCCCAAUGACUCUUAGUUCAAUGGCCGCGGUAUCUUGACCGUGCAAAGGUAGCAUAAUCACUUGCCCCUUAAUUAGGGGCUGGCAUGAAAGGACACACGAAAGCUUCCCUGUCUCACAAUAAUAAAUAAAAAUUAAUCUUUAAGUGAAAAAGCUUAAAUAAAAUUGCAGGACAAGAAGACCCCGUUGAGCUUUAUUCUCUAUAGACCAAUCUAAAUAUUUAUUAUAUCAUAAACCUAAAAAAGAAUUUAGUUGGGGUGACUAAGGAACAUCAUAAACUUCCUCUAUCUAUUUAGGGCUAUUCCCCAAAAAAAUUGACCCACAAACCGUGAUCAAAAAAAUAAGCUACCACAGGGAUAACAGGCUAAUCUUUCUUAAGAGCCCAAAUUGUCAGAAAGGAUUGGCACCUCGAUGUUGGCUUAGGGGCCCCUAAUGGUGCAGAAGCCAUAAAAGGUAGGUUUGUUCAACCUUUAAAACCCU